rnacentral:tRNA from 1 species
AUUUAAAUAGUUUAAUAAAAAACUUUGAUUUGUGGAAUCAAAAAUGUAAAAAUUUUACUUUAGAUA